rnacentral:rRNA from 1 species
UACGUAGGGUGCGAGCGUUAAUCGGAAUUACUGGGCGUAAAGGGUGCGCAGGCGGCUAUGUAAGUUAGAUGUGAAAUCCCCGGGCUUAACCUGGGAAUGGCAUUUAAGACUGUAUGUCUAGAGUUUGUCAGAGGGGGGUAGAAUUCCAAGUGUAGCAGUGAAAUGCGUAGAGAUUUGGAGGAAUACCAGCGGCGAAGGCGGCCCCCUGGGAUAAAACUGACGCUCAGGCACGAAAGCGUGGGUAGCAAACAGG